CAACCUUCUCGGCCUUUUGGCUAAGAUCAAGUGUAGUAUCUGUUCUAGAACUCGUGACAAAGUUCUUGUCUCCACUGGGGACACUGUUCACGAUUAUUUUUGUCGCCUGACUGGUCGGGGCUCUGGCUUGCCAUCCCUGCUGGUCGCACGUGACCUCUGUAUUGCACUACAGCAGAGCGUUGCGGGUGCCAC
rnacentral:snRNA from 1 species